GAACAGGAAGUUCCGGUCAGGCGUCAGCCAUAAUGAAAGCGGCAGAACUUGUUCUCUGAAGACGAUAGCUCUUAUGCCCGUUUCAAAUGUUUUACUAAAAGAUUAAAUCUGAGGAGGGUAACAUCAACAGUGAGGACAAACCCAGCCUGCCACUCUCCUUCCACACUGAGUCCAAACCUACAGUCACUGGGUCCUGAUUGUGACAGUGGAGCCCAGUUUGCACUGCAGGAUCCAGAGAUGACAUCAGUGAAGCUGGAAGACUUUAGUCAAACACUGGACCUGAAUGUCAACAUUAAAGAUGAAGAGGAGAGGAGAAGAUUAGACAACUGUUAGUCAUGGAGACCAUGUUGAGACAUUCUCUACAUCCAGAGAGCAACAGCAGGAAGAUCACAGAGCUAAGAGAUCUCCCACUGCCCACAUUGUGAGGAGAUUUUCCCAAUUCUAUCAAAGCUAAAAUUACACCUAAAAAUACACACUGGAGAGAAUCUGUAUUCCUGUACUGACUGUGGGAAGAGCUCACAACAUCAAGGGCUCUGAAACUUCAUCAGAGAGUGCACACUGGAGAGAAGCCUUACUACUGCUCGUACUGUGGGAGAGUUACUCUCAACAGAGCAACUUCAAAAAACACCAACGUCUACACACAGGAGAGAAGCCUUACUCCUGCUGUGACUGUGGAAAAUGUUUUACAACAUCAUCUGAGCUAACAGUUCAUCAGAGAACACACACUGGAGAAAAACCUUACAUCUGCUCUGACUGUGGGAAGAGUUUCUCCACCUGUGUAACUUUAAAGCACACCAACGUAUACAUUCAGGAGAGAAGCCAUACUCCUGCUCUGACUGUGGGAAAAGUUUCUCCCGAUUGUAUACCUUAAAGUCACAUGGRCGUACCCAUACAGGAAAGAAGCCUUACUCCUGUUCUGACUGUAGGAAGAGUUUUUCCCACCAGGGUAGCUUUAAAGCACACCAACGUAUACACACAGGAGAGAAGCCAUACUCUUGCUUUGACUGUGGGAAGAGUUUCUCUCAACAGAGCAACUUAAAAACACACCAACGUAUACACACAGGAGAGAAGCCUUACUACUGCUCUGACUGUGGGAAGAGUUUCUCUCAAGAGAGCAACUUAAAAACACACCAACGUAUACAUAAAGGAGAGAAGCCUCGUCASUUCUCUCAGACCAGCUGAGAUUUAAAUGCAGUGAUAGAGUGAUUUUAAUCUCAUUGCUUGACUUGGACUGAAAUAGGUGCCGGUACUGUUUUUAUUUAGCUCCAGGACCUCCACAAUMWUUUUGAGCUAAUCUAUAACAGGAACAGGAGCUCAAGCAGUAGAACAUUUGAGGGCCUGGUACUCYGCUCCGGUAAGUUCCUGCCCAAGUCAAGCGCCGGUACUCACAACAUGUAUCAGAUAGAGAUGGUGUGAUGACCACUUUUCACCACUAGUUUGGGGGGAUUAUUUUACAACUUUAUUUAAUGAGACACAGUUUAUGAAAUGAAUACAUGUGUUUAUUAAAUUGUCUUUUAAAACUA